rnacentral:lncRNA from 1 species
AAAAACACGAAGUUGGCAAAACCCGAGCCCCGGACCCACUUCUCCAAAAAUUACGAAAGUCACAUUUUCAGAAUCCUCGUCUCGCCACGAGUCCAUACAAAUAAAGCUCAUAAAAAUCGAAGUUCAAUAGCCCCUUCAAAAUCCAAGCCCUAAAUUCUCCAAUUUCCACCCAAUUUUCAGAGAUUUAGAUGAUUAUUCUUCAAUAUAAUCACGUAAUUAGCUCAUAAAACUUAUCUCAAAUCGAAAACUAGGUGAAAUCC